rnacentral:snRNA from 1 species
AUACUUCCCUGGCAGGGGAGACACCAUGAUCAUGAAGGAGGUUUUCCCAGGGCGAGGCUUAUCCAUUGCACUCCGGAUGUGCUGACCCCUGCGAUUUCCCCAAAUGUGGGAAACUCGACUGCAUCAUUUGUGGUAGUGGGAGACUGCGUUCGCACUCUUCCC